UUUUCCUUCCGUUAGAAUUUA
rnacentral:piRNA from 1 species